rnacentral:rRNA from 1 species
AAAGUCUGACCUGCCCUAUGAAUAGUAUUUAAAUGGCUGCGAUACUCUGAUCGUGCAAAGGUAGCAUAAUAAUUAGUUUUUUAAUUGGGAACUGGAAUGAAAGGUCGAACGAGAAAAAAACUGUCUCAAUCUAAAUUUAAUUAGAAUUUUAUUUUUAAGUAAAAAAGCUUAAAUAAUUUUAAAAGACGAGAAGACCCUAUAGAGUUUUAUAUAAAUAUAAAUAUUUAGAAGUUGAAGAAUUAUAGAUUUAAAUAUUUAUAUUUAUAUUUGGUUGGGGUGAUUAAAAAAUUUAAUGAACUUUUUUUAUAUUAAACCAUUGAUUUAUGAAUAAGUGAUCCA